UCCCCAGUGGCUUAGUGGUAAAGAAUCUGCCUGCAAUGCAGGAGAAGAGGCAAGAGCCACGGGUUCCAUCCCUGGGGAU
rnacentral:tRNA from 1 species